rnacentral:rRNA from 1 species
GACGAACGCUGGCGGCGUGCUUAACACAUGCAAGUCGAGCGGAGCGGCUAACGGGUGAGUAACGCGUGAGUAACUGCCCCCCUCUCUGGGAUAACAGUUGGAACCGGCUGCUAAUACCGGAUAGUGGGGGAUGAAUCGUGUCCUAUCAGCUUGUUGGUGGGGUAGUGGCCUACCAAGGCGACGACGGGUAGCCCGCCUGAUAGGGCGACCGGCCACAUUGGGCUGAGAGACGGCCCAAACUCCUACGGGAGGCAGCGGUGGGGAAUAUUGCACAAUGGGGGAAACCCUGAUGAAGGAACGCCGCGUUCGGGAUGACGGCCUUCGGGUUGUAAACCGCUUUCAGCCAUGACGCGGUAGUGGCAGAAGAAGCACCGGCUAACUACGGGCCAGCCGCCGCGGUAAGAC